rnacentral:lncRNA from 10 species
GAAGCAUAGAUGUUCACUGCUACUUCACUUCACUGGCUAAGAUUCCUGGGUAGACUUCACUGGGCUCCUGGUCUCUAUUUCCAUUAAGACUCCUUUGCCUUGCUAUAGCAGCCUGAAAAAUUCCAAGAAUUUUAAAAAGUUAUUUUUCAUCUUCAGAGAGGACACAUUACUUGAUGUAGAGUGGAGGCAGUCACUUCUGCACAUUCUGUGCUGCUGAGGCAAUUUCUGCUAUUCGUUCCUCUGAACUUCCUUGGGUUUGUUUAGCUUCUAUAAAAUUAUUCAUUUUUCCAGAGAGUAAAAGUGCUACUGCUUCUAUAAUUUGGACUUCCCUACUUAAACUAUUUUAAACUACUCAAAACUAUAUUCUGCUUUACAAGAGCCUUAUUUUACUUCAUUGCUCUGUUUGGGUUCCUGUUUUGCAAGGGCAAAAACUGAAUAAAAAUUAUAGCAUUCUAUUUUCCAGCCACAAAUGUGGUCCUCAGCUCUUUCUAAUUAUAUAAUCCCAUGCUCCUGAGAGCUAGAAUUUAUUGUUAAGUGAAAAAAUUUUGUAUUUUAUUGAAUUUAAGCUGUCAUCAAUGGUGAAAUUCACUGUUUACCAAUAAGAAAUAAAAAUCAUGCUCAAUUAAACUGGGACA